UAAAAGAUAGUGUAAAAGAAGCACGCAGGGGUUUGAUUUCUGCAAUAUAGGUUCGAAUCCUAUUUCUCUAA
rnacentral:tRNA from 1 species